rnacentral:rRNA from 1 species
CCUACGGGAGGCAGCAGUAGGGAAUCUUCCACAAUGGGCGAAAGCCUGAUGGCGCAACGCCGCGUGGGUGAAGAAGGUCUUCGGAUCGUAAAACCCUGUUGUUAGAGAAGAAAGUGCGUGAGAGUAACUGUUCACGUUUCGACGGUAUCUAACCAGAAAGUCACGGCUAACUACGUGCCAGCAGCCGCGGUAAUACGUAGGUGGCAAGCGUUAUCCGGAUUUAUUGGGCGGAAAGGGAACGCAGGCGGUCUUUUAAGUCUGAUGUGAAAGCCUUCGGCUUAACCGGAGUAGUGCAUUGGAAACAGGGAGACUGGAGUGCAGAAGAGGGGAGUGGAACUCCAGGUGUAGCGGUGAAAUGCGUAGAUAUAUGGAAGAACACCAGUGGCGAAAGCGGCUCUCUGGUCUGUAACUGACGCUGAGGUUCGAAAGCGUGGGUAGCAAACAGGAUUAGAUACCCUUGUAGUC